AAUCUACUUCCUUCGUCCGAAAAUAUUUGUCGAAAAAAUGCAUAAAAAUGAACAUAUCUAUAAUUAAAAAUACGUCUAGAUACAUUCAUUUCUCCGACAAAUAUUUCUGGACGGAAGGAGUACAUG
rfam:Triticum aestivum genome assembly, contig: Triticum_aestivum_CS42_TGACv1_scaffold_641674_T_5DL-0.060547_1AL-0.044503